UACGUAGGGGCAAGCGUUGUCCGGACUUACUGGGCGUAAAGCGUGUGCAGGCGGGCCGCUAUGUGCCGUGUGAAAGCUCUCAGCUUAUCUGGGAGAGGUCGCGGUAGACAGGCAGCCUGGAGGCUCGGAGAGGUCAGUGGAAUCUCGGUGUAGUGGUGAAAUGCGUAGAUAUCGAGAGGACACCGUGGCGCAAGCGGCUGACUGGCCGAGACCUGACGCUGAGACACGACGGC
rnacentral:rRNA from 1 species